GAUGAACGCUGGCGGCGUGCCUAAUACAUGCAAGUCGAGCGAACAGACGAGGAGCUUGCUCCUCUGACGUUAGCGGCGGACGGGUGAGUAACACGUGGAUAACCUACCUAUAAGACUGGGAUAACUUCGGGAAACCGGAGCUAAUACCGGAUAAUAUAUUGAACCGCAUGGUUCAAUAGUGAAAGACGGUUUUGCUGUCACUUAUAGAUGGAUCCGCGCCGCAUUAGCUAGUUGGUAAGGUAACGGCUUACCAAGGCAACGAUGCGUAGCCGACCUGAGAGGGUGAUCGGCCACACUGGAACUGAGACACGGUCCAGACUCCUACGGGAGGCAGCAGUAGGGAAUCUUCCGCAAAGGGCGAAAGCCUGACGGAGCAACGCCGCGUGAGUGAUGAAGGUCUUCGGAUCAUAAAACUCUGUUAUUAGGGAAGAACAAAUGUGUAAGUAACUAUGCACGUCUUGACGGUACCUAAUCAGAAAGCCACGGCUAACUACGUG
rnacentral:rRNA from 1 species